AAAAGCCAGCUGAUCCUAAAGAAAAUCCAGUCUAUUCUGAGGUCAAGACAGGGAAGGCCACAGCAGCAACUGGACAUGCUGAGGUUGACCUUAAACAGAAGGCCAAAGCCAAGAAGAAGAAAGAAACAGAAACCCCACCUGAGGC